GCCCAGACUCCUACGGGAGGCAGCAGUGGGGGAUAUUGCACAAUGGGGGAAACCCUGAUGCAGCGACGCCGCGUGGGUGAAGAAGCGCCUCGGCGCGUAAAGCCCUGUCAGCAGGGAAGAAAAUGACGGUACCUGAAGAAGAAGCCCCGGCUAACUACGUGCCAGCAGCCGCGGUAAUACGUAGGGGGCAAGCGUUAUCCGGAUUUACUGGGUGUAAAGGGGGCGCAGACGGCGAUGCAAGCCAGGAGUGAAAGCCCGGGGCCCAACCCCGGGACUGCUCUUGGAACUGCGUGGCUGGAGUGCAGGAGGGGCAGGCGGAAUUCCUGGUGUAGCGGUGAAAUGCGUAGAUAUCAGGAGGAACACCGGUGGCGAAGGCGGCCCGCUGGACUGCAACUGACGUUGAGGCCCGAAAGCGUGGGGAGCAAACAGGAUUAGAUACCCCCGUACA
rnacentral:rRNA from 1 species